GACGUCGUGUGCAUGAUCAAAGCCCACGGGGCCGUUUGACUGAGCAUUCGCAUUCAAUUUGAAAUUUUGAAUUCAAGAAGUUGGCUCUGCGCUCGCCCGCUCCCACUCCCAGCUUGCUGUUCGACUGAUCCAAUCCAACUCUUUUCCAGCUUUAGCACUCAAUAUCCGUUCCAAAAACCCUCUUCAUCUAUACUCUCUAACUCAAUGACCUCAUCUCUCUCUCACUCAAUUGACGACAAAGACCUUGACGACGCUGCAUUGUGGGCUGUGAUUGACUCCGCUGAGGCCUCUCAUUCUUCCUCCAAGUCCCGCAAGCCACUUGCUCUCAAAUACCCCAAUUUCCAGUCCCCGCCCACCCCAAUCUCCAACUUCUCUCCUCCUCAAAACCCUAGAUGCCAAUUUAGAAAUAAUUCACCCAUUUCUGAUCCUUAUCGCAGGCCUCACAAGAUUGCCAGAUCUUGCGCUUCCGAGGUCAGCGAAUGCACUGGCCCGCUGGAAAUAGUCAGGACGCCUAUUGCCAAUACGGUGCUGUAUUCAUCUCCCGAGGCUUACUUAUCACCGCAAAUAAGGAUGUUUAGACCAAAUGAGCUCAAUGAUGGGUCUGAAGUUUCUCCUGGUAGCUAUGUGCGUAGUGAGGAGAAGGAUGUUAUGAGGCAUUGCUUGAGUGGGAGGUUUCCUUCCGUUUCGCUCUUUAAGGAUUAUCAGAAUGCGGCUAUGGCGAUAUUGGAGAAAUCUGAUUACACUAUGAUUUCUGGGAAUCCUUUCAUUAAAAAGUCAGGUUGGAGAAAGAUAUCAUGUUACUUCAAUCUUUCUUAUGAAAUCAAAGACAAGACCAUUGAAUUCGAUGAUAACCGAAAUGUUCUGCGGGCUGAGUUUGUUGUUCGCGCAUAUAUGCAGGGUGGCAGGUUCUCUGAUGGAUGGGGCUCAUGUGAGCGACGUGAGAAGAGAUUCUUAAAACCAAAUCAUGAUAUCCCUAGCACAGCUGAAACCAGGGCAAAAAACAAAGCCUGCCAGGACCUACUUGGAAUUGGAGAAUAUCGACCUGGUGUGAGCCAAUUUAAUCAAAAAUAGUCACACAUUGUACAACUAGGAAAUGCUAUUCCACGAAAUUUAUCAAGGACUGUAUACUCUGUGACAUUUGAUCUGAUUUACAUCAUUCCUCCUUGCAAUAUUUGAAGCUGUGCACAUAAUUUUUUCCUCUUUGUCGUGAAUAUUGUGCAAUCUGUCAACAGAGCUUGUGGACCAGAUAAAGGAAAGGCGCUCUUUUCCUUUCAAUUUUUUUUUUCCAAUUCUUGUGCUAUCUCUUUCCUCUUUUUGCAUUGAAUUACUAGUUAUGUAUCAGGACAAAAGCAACUACUAACUUCACACAAAUGGUUUCCAUCUAUGUCCAACUGAAUGAAUUGAAAAAC
rnacentral:misc_RNA from 1 species